rnacentral:rRNA from 1 species
GAUGAACGCUGGCGGCGUGCCUAAUACAUGCAAGUCGAGCGAACGGACGAGAAGCUUGCUUCUCUGAUGUUAGCGGCGGACGGGUGAGUAACACGUGGAUAACCUACCUAUAAGACUGGGAUAACUUCGGGAAACCGGAGCUAAUACCGGAUAAUAUUUUGAACCGCAUGGUUCAAAAGUGAAAGACGGUCUUGCUGUCACUUAUAGAUGGAUCCGCGCUGCAUUAGCUAGUUGGUAAGGUAACGGCUUACCAAGGCAACGAUGCAUAGCCGACCUGAGAGGGUGAUCGGCUACACUGGAACUGGGACACGGUCCAGACUCCUACGGGAGGCAGCAGUAGGGAAUCUUCCGCAAAGGGCGAAAGCCUGACGGAGCAACGCCGCGUGAGUGAUGAAGGUCUUCGGAUCGUAAAACUCUGUUAUUAGGGAAGAACAUAUGUGUAAGUAACUGUGCACAUCUUGACGGUACCUAAUCAGAAAGCCACGGCUAACUACGUG